rnacentral:lncRNA from 1 species
GCAUCAAUCUACUUCUGAGAGUUAGAACUGCGCAUGGCCUGAUGGAAGUUGAUCGGGUCAUCCUCCGUUAAACCAACGCCAUCCUCAUGUUCUUGAAGAAAGACGAUAUAAUCAUCUGAAAUCGCAUUUCUUCUCUCCCUAGUGGAUCUCCUUAAUAGCACUUCUUGAGGUUGUUGAGUUUGUUCUAUAGGUGGUGCUUGAGGAAGAAUCUCAUUGUUGUCUUGGUCUGAAACAAUG